GACGAACGCUGGCGGCGUGCCUAAUACAUGCAAGUAGAACGCUGAAGGAGGAGCUUGCUUCUCUGGAUGAGUUGCGAACGGGUGAGUAACGCGUAGGUAACCUGCCUGGUAGCGGGGGAUAACUAUUGGAAACGAUAGCUAAUACCGCAUAAUAGUAGAUGUUGCAUGACAUUUGCUUAAAAGGUGCAAUUGCAUCACUACCAGAUGGACCUGCGUUGUAUUAGCUAGUUGGUGAGGUAACGGCUCAACAAGGCGACGAUACAUAGCCGACCUGAGAGGGGGAUCGGCCACACUGGGACUGAGACACGGCCCAGACUCCUACGGGAGGCAGCAGUAGGGAAUCUUCGGCAAUGGACGGAAGGCUGACCGAGCAACGCCGCGUGAGGGAAGAAGGUUUUCGGAUCGUAAAGCUCUGUUGUAAGAGAAGAACGAGUGUGAGAGUGGAAAGUUCACACUGUGACGGUAUCUUACCAGAAAGGGACGGCUAACUACGUG
rnacentral:rRNA from 1 species